AGUAGCCAGUAGGAGCGCAGUCGCCUACCAACCUUCCGACUAGUAGCAUCCGUCACUAUUUUUAUACUGUUCUAUGUAAUUAUUUUACUUUAUUUUUAUGUACAUAUGUAUAUCUAUAUACACGUAUAUAUAUUUACAAAUACAUUGUUAAAGUAUGUGAACAAUAAGAUUCAAUAAACAAUAACAAAUAAAAUUUAUUUUCGCGCCAAAAAUAAUUUAAAAGUUUAAACAAUUGAGUGUUGAAAAAAAGUCUGGUUCAAUUUUUAAAAGUUGAGGUUAUGAAAAAAAAAAUAAUUUAUUGUUAAUUUAUUACGAAUUGUAAAUUUUUUUGUUGUGUUAUUGUUUAAAUUACGUCAUAUUUGUAAUUACUGAGAAAUAAAAUUUUUUUAAAGUUGAAUUUAAAAAUACAAGUAGUAAAAUGACUGAUGAUUACGAUGUCGGAAAUGGUGGCGGAUCUAAUGAAGAUUCAAAGUCGCAGUCAACAAAAGCUGAUAAAAAAUUACAGGAAUUUGAAAGAAAUAAAAAUUAUAGUGAAAAUUCAAUUUUAACACCAGCCGCUGAUCAGACGUAUUUUGCUGAUACUAAAAUUCAUAUACCGGAAAUUGAAAAUACCAUAUUUAGCUUCAGAAAAUUAUGGGCUUUUACGGGACCGGGAUUUUUGAUGUCAAUCGCAUAUUUAGAUCCUGGAAAUAUUGAGUCCGAUUUACAAUCUGGUGUUAAAGCCAAAUAUAAGCUACUAUGGGUAUUGUUAAGUGCAACAAUACUCGGAUUAAUAAUGCAGCGUCUAAGUGCACGUCUAGGUGUUGUAACAGGAUUACAUUUAGCUGAGAUGUGCUAUCGGCAGUACAAAAAAUUACCGCGUAUUUUGCUAUGGAUCAUGACUGAAAUAGCAAUUAUUGGCAGUGAUAUGCAAGAGGUCAUUGGUACUGCCACUGCACUGUAUCUACUAUCCAAUAAAGGUCUUCCAUUGUGGUCAGGAGUAUUGAUAACAGUAAUAGACACAUUUACAUUUUUAUUACUUGAUAAAUAUGGCCUCAGAAAGCUGGAAUUAUUUUUCGGAUUAUUGAUAAGUGUUAUGGCUGUUACAUUUGGAUACGAAUAUGUCGUAUCAGGACCCCCGCAACUGGAAGUUAUCAAGGGUAUGUUUACUCCGAUGUGUGUAAACUGUGAUAGUACUGUAUUAUUACAGGCUGUGGGUAUUGUCGGCGCUGUUAUUAUGCCCCAUAAUUUAUAUUUGCACAGCGCGUUAGUUAAAUCGAGAGAUAUUGACAGACGACAGCCGACGAAAGUAAAGGAAGCGAAUAAAUAUUUUUUUAUUGAAUCGUGUAUUGCUUUGUUGGUAUCAUUUAUUAUAAAUGUAUUCGUUGUGGCUGUAUUUGCUCAUGGGUUAUUUGGAAAAACGAACGCGGAUGUGCAUGCAGUGUGUGUCAGUGCGAAUAAUACUUUAGGAACAGAUACUUUUCCGGAUGAUACAAACUACGUAGAUGCUGAUUUAUAUAAAGGAGGAAUAUUUCUCGGAUGUACAUUCGGAGUAGCUGCGAUGUACAUUUGGGCAGUUGGUAUCCUCGCGGCUGGACAGUCGUCAACGAUGACCGGGACAUAUGCCGGUCAAUUUGCCAUGGAAGGAUUUUUGAAUUUGCAAUGGUCUAGGUGGAAACGUGUACUACUUACUCGUACAAUUGCCAUCGUUCCGACAUUUUUUGUAGCCUUCUACGCUAACAUCGAGGAUCUUACAGGAAUGAAUGAUGUCCUUAAUGCCGUUAUGAGUCUCCAACUGCCUUUCGCAACUCUCCCGACCAUCGCUUUCACCAGCAGUGUUCAUGUCAUGGGUCAAUUUAGAAAUGGAAAGUUUAAUAAAAUUGUCGCAACAGCAUUGUCAGCAGUUGUAAUAGGAAUUAAUAUUUAUUUCGUUAAAGACACCGUUGAAACAGUAUUACCGGAUCACUGGGCAGUAUAUUUAGGAAUAACUAUCUAUGCAAUAUUUUAUCUUGGAUUCUGUUUAUAUUUAGUUAUUCAUAUGGCUAUUGCAAUGGGCGCUGACUUUUUAACAAAUUACAGAAUCAUUGCUAAAUUUAUCGGUGGGCCGACAGAAAUGAAUUUUUCACUGACUAGUCCUUCCGAUUAUUCCAGUAGCUCUGAUACAUCAGUGGUGUCUCGAGAGUCUACAGAAAGAUUACUUCCACAUGAGACGUAAUAAUUAACUAAUUAAUUAUAGUAAAAAAAUAAAAAAAAAAAUUUCAUUUGAUAUCGUAUCGAAGUAAAUGAAAACAGUAUAUUUAAAUUUAAAUAAAAUCAUUCAUACUGCAUAUGAUGUCAGCAUGCAACUCAUGUAUGUCACUAAGAAGAAUUUCUAUGACUAAAAAUAAUAAAUAACACUUAACGAUAUCAAUUUAAUGCAAUAACACAAGAACAAAUUAUGGAUUCGCAAUUCAAGAAAAUAUAAAUGGGAGUUUCUCAUCACUUGGCGUAAUGUAAAAUAAAUUAAAGUUAAUUAAUUAUU